GAUUUACUGGGCGUAAAGGGCGCGUAGGCGGCCACUACAAGUCACUUGUGAAAUCUCCGGGCUUAACUCGGUAGAGGCCAAGUGAUACUGUUGGGCUAGAGUGCGGAAGGGGCAACUGGAAUUCUCGGUGUAGCGGUGAAAUGCGUAGAUAUCGAGAGGAACACCUGCGGCGAAGGCGGGUUGCUGGGCCGACACUGACGCUGAGGCGCGAAAGCUAGGGGAGCGAACGGGAUUAGAUACCCCGGUAGUCCUAGCCUUAAACGAUGGAUGCUUGGUGUCUGGGGUAAUAAAGUCCCCGGGUGCCGUCGCUAACGCUUUUAGCAUCCCGCCUGGGGAGUACGGUCGCAAGACUAAAACUCAAAGGAAUCGACGGGGACCCGCACAAGCGGUGGAGCAUGUGGUUUAAUUCGACGCAACGCGAAGAACCUUACCUGGGCUAGAAUGCCUCCGACAGCCCCAGAGAUGGGGACUCCUAUGGAAACAUAGGCGGAGUGCAGGGUGCUGCAUGGCU
rnacentral:rRNA from 1 species